CAGCCGCCGCGGGAAUACGUAGGGUGCGAGCGUUAGUCGGAAUUACUGGGCGUAAAGCGUGCGCAGGCGGUUGUGUAAGACAGGUGUGAAAUCCCCGGGCUUAACCUGGGAACUGCGCUUGUGACUGCACAGCUAGAGUAUGGCAGAGGGGGGUGGAAUUCCACGUGUAGCAGUGAAAUGCGUAGAGAUGUGGAGGAACACCGAUGGCGAAGGCAGCCCCCUGGGCCAAUACUGACGCUCAUGCACGAAAGCGUGGGGAGCAAACAGGAUUAGAUACCCCCGUAGUCCCUGUCUCUUAUAC
rnacentral:rRNA from 1 species